UUUGCGUUAAGGAUUGAUGUGGAAAUCCUUUUUGUGAGGCACGAGCAAAAAGAUUGUAACGGAAAGCCUGACGUACU
rnacentral:sRNA from 1 species